GCGGGACUGCAGGAGGCCCAGGGCCGUUUGUCAGGCUGUCCUGUUAUUCCUGCUUGGGAACCUGACACACGGGCCUGCUUUCUUGCAUGUGUUGU
ensembl:miRNA gga-mir-1572 gga-mir-1572